rnacentral:misc_RNA from 1 species
AAGUCGUAACAAGGUAACCGUAGGUGAACCUGCGGUUGGAUCAUUUAAGAUCUGCACCCUGUCAAAGGGUCGAUCCACAACUGUGCACCGUUGACGUACUUGGCGGCGGACGAGAUCUCGGUCUCAGUCCAACGCUGGUUGGUGGGGAUGUUCCGGUGGAUGGUUUCACGAUCGUCUGUCGGCUCCCUUACCAGGCGCAUGCCGUCCGUAAAGACAAACUCAUUACACUUUUGACUGAUCAUCCGUCUUACGACGCCAAAUAAAAAACAACUUUCGACAAUGGAUCUCUUGGCUCUC